GAGCUGGGUAGAGGACAGGAAGCAUCCCAUCCAGAGCAGCCUGUUUGGAUUCUGAUCUGACAUGUCUGUAGAGCCUGAGUGGACACGUGAACGGCCUUGACUUGGUGGGUAAUGGACACUCUGAGUAUUAUGGGCUGAACUGUGUGCCCCCUAAAGUCAUGUGUUGAAGCCCUAACCCCCAGAGCUCAGAACGUGACCCUGUCUGGAGACUGGGCCUUUAAGAGGUAGUUAAGGUUAAAUGAGGCCGGCAUGGGUGAGAUCUCAUCCAGUCUGUUGUCUUUAGAAGAAAAGGAAAAAGCUGGGCCCCCGAAGAGGCACCAGGGAUGUGCAGGCACAGAAAAAAGGAAGAAGAGGCCGCAGGAGAGACCCCAGAGGAAGCCAACCAACCCUGCCAGCACCUCCGUCUCAGACUGCGAGCCUCCAAAACUUGCCUAGCACAGGUCUGGCGUGUGGAAUCUGCUUGGUGAGUAUGAAGUCCUCCCCGGCUCUGCCCCACCAGCCAUCAGUGCACAACGUCCAACCGCCUAUCACAGUUCGUGACUCUGGCUUCUCAUCAGCCCGCCCAGGCGCCCUGUGACUCUAAGACAUUAAUGUCUGUGGAUCUUCAUGAAAUCUCGGGAAGCUGCAGAUUCUGCCUUUGGAACAAGUCCCCAGGUGAUGCCGAUGCUGUGGUCCUCGGACCACACUUUGAGUAGCCGGACAGUAGUGGCGAUGCGCUCUCCUACCUGGCCCUGUCGUGACGUGGCCAGCGUGGUCCUUAACAGCCCUGACAGCCUUCAGAAGAGAAACUCGACUACCCCUAGGAUGCUCCCCUCAUACACCCCAUUCUUUGAAGGACGCCCCCCUCCACCCCAUCACUGGACAUGACUAACAGGCACUCACCAGGGAGCCGAGCAGGUGGAGAGUCUGGGGUGGCUUAUCAGAGAGCAAGUGACAGACACCAGGAGGCGAAGGUCAACAGCAUGUUUCCUUCAGGUGACAGAGACGCUCCAAACACUAUGCUUCGUUCCCAAUUUGCUUCACGAACAGCGGGUGCCCCUUACACGUUGACUUAGAGAUCACGUUCGUCUAGCCCCCACCUGUCUUACAACUGAAUCCAGCCAAGGAAAUGCGUUGGCAAAGUAUUUAGUACUAAGUUCGGUUAACUCUCGGACUCUGGAGCAGGGGAGUAUUCAAUCUGUUCUCUCCCCAGCUGUUCCUUCAAUUCCUGUCCUGUGUGGCGAUUUUUUUUUUUUUGGCUCUGCUAACCAAAGCUGUGCACGCUCAGCUUCCCUGUCACCCGUUCUCUGGGGUGACCGGAGAAGCUCCCACUCUGUGUGCAGAUGGGGACAGGGGCAGGACAUGAGGUGACUGGUGACAUAUCUGCAUCUACACAUACACACAUGUAUAUAGAAACAAAAUAUUUUAAUUCUUUUUACAUGGCCACAGGCUUUCUUGUCAGGUGAACUCCAGCAGGCACCUCUCGUGGCUGCGAGGGGAUGGUGUGGUGACGUCAUCCCAGCCAGUCCAUAUAAGCUACAGUCCCCAUUCGGCACAGCCAGCCUUAUGUGGCAGAUACGUCGCUGCCUCCUCAGGUGACCGAACCGCAGCUCAAGAGCAGUUUAUCCCAGAGGUCAGAAGCCUCGAAACACCCAUCAUGCGUCUUAACCUCUAUUCUGGAAUCUUAUAAAACAUUUAUAUAUAUAUAGCACAAUAAACGUGCUUAUUACGCACUCUAACAUAGAGUACAGGAACACACACCACGGAGCACAACCCCAGCCGUCUCCACGGUGGGAAAAGUGCGAAGGUCAAACGCAUACACAAGGUGUGGCAGCAGAAAGGUAUAGAGCACCACGCUCCAUGCCUUUCCACAUGACCCGACACCGCGAACUUGUCAUCUUUGUCCCGUUGGUGGUAGGAGCAUUAACAGAAACUAUGUCACCUUCUAAGGGCAGGGGAUGCCAGACAAUCUGGUGUGGAGCGGAGAGUGAUUACGAUCCGGAGCUGAUCUAGAACUAACUGCUGAAGGUCAGCCUGGCUCACGACCCCCAGGUGGAGGUCUGCUCUCUGGCGGGCGGGACCGGCUUUGGGGGCCGAGGGCUGACGUGGUAUCUGUCAGACACACACAUUCUCACACUCACACGCUCCGGGGGAAAGUGCAUUUCCAAGAGCUGAUACGAAAACAGAUUGGCACACUCUUUUGACACAGUGAGGGUAUGUUUUCAAAGCGUUCCCCCAGCUGCUGCAAAUUCUCCUCCCCGCUCUGCUCUAGAACUUUGCACUGAGUUGGACCAGGUCUGGAGAGAAGGCUCUGGAGAGAAGGCCCUGCACCGCACUGGCGAGGUCUGUGCAUGCCCGGGAAGAACAGCAGGGAGGGGACAGCUGCAGAGUGUCGCCAGGGGAAAGGCCCUGUGCCAUCUUACGCACGGUUCUCCCCUUCCCCUGCUGAGUAAUAAACUGCUCGUGGGUCAUCCCAGCUAGCCAGACCAAGACUCCCUGAAAAGUUUCCGGUACUGCCCUACACGAAAACAUGUGGAGAGGAAAAAAGGCUGGUAUGUCGAGUUCUAUUUUUGCAUUUCCAGUAGUAAGUGCUGUUCUGCAAGCUCGGAGGAAGUGGUCCCUGGCCCUUCUUAGGGCCUGUGCUAGGAGCUCUGCACCAGGCGUCUGUAAUGGGGCAUGACCUCGUGCUCCGGCAGAUGAAGAGCAAACUCCAAGGCCACUAACACUGGGAAUUCAAAGGCAAUCAGUUCUCGUCUAUUCAGCCGGAACUUCUCUUCCAGUUUCUGCAACAGAAUGAAAGGAAACCAAGAGCAUAUCAGCUUUGCAAUCAAAGUCCUUGCCUUUCUCCACAUGUAAGCUCCCUACCCACCAGCCCAUGAGUGUUUACAGAGAAACCCAUUACAGGCAAGACUGUGGAGGAAGAAAGGGAGGCAGGCUUCAGCUGUACUUCCCGCUCUCAGUCCUGGUGAAAGAAUCGAAUGUCCCUGAGGACCCACGGUCCCACGACUUCAUUUACUCUCUCAAUAAUCUUAGUACAAGAUCAAGUACAUCCCACAACUUCAUUUACUCUUUCAAUAAUCUUAUAAGUUCAAUGUGACAUUUAUACCCACUUUACAGAGGAGAGAAAACAGGGUCAAGAGGGUAAAUAGUUGAGCCUAAGGUGAGAUGGGACAGUAAAUGGCAACGCUGAGAUACCAACUCAAUUGAGAUUUCAACUCCACCUGUUACAAGUAGCUUAUUCAGGCUUAGAGGGAAGACUAAAAAGAUCGCACAUCACCUACAACAGCAAUGACCACCUGGGAAGUUCAGGAUUGGGUGGGUGGACUCUAUGUAGUUUGGUCCUUUCACACACGAAGACCCAAGACCUGUUGAGAUCAGCUCCCUUCCAGGGUGUCAUACAGCCUGAGUGUGUGCAUGUGAACGGCCGGAGCACGCGGCUGUGUUUAGCUUGCACCCAGGGGCUCCCCGCUGGCACCAGAAUACACACCAUGAAGCACCUCAGCCAUCUCCGUGGCUGGGGGGCGGGGGGGGGGGGGGAGUGCGAAGGUCAAACACACACGGUUUGGCAGCAGAAAGCACCACGCUCCAUGCCUUUCCACACGACCCAACGCUGAGAAUUGGUCAUCUUUGUCCCACUGGUAGUAGGGGUAGAAACAAACUAUGUCAUCUAAGGGCAGAGGAUGCCAGACAAUCUGGUGUGGGGCGGAGCUCAAUCCACCCAGCUGUGGGCGCUGCUGGAGUAGAGAUGAAGGAGAACAACCAGGGGAGGGUGGGCAGGGAAGGCCUUGUUUUUGCCAGGACACAUUCUGCUCUGGCUUAGCCGGUUUGGGCUUAAAAAACAGAACAAAACAAAACUCCCCCACAGAGCCAUUGGUGGCCACUGAUUAUAACAGGGCUGGGACCCUGUGUCAAAUUAACUGCUACUGCAAAUGUGAAAACCACUGCCUGUAUAUCCUGCAUGGACACACUGUCUGGUCUAUUACUCGGCUACAACUAAAUGUACACAACCUCACACUUGUCAAGAUUAUUAGUUCAGUUAGUAUCUAUGUAAACCUGUUGAUUCUCAGAUUUAGUAACCAAAGUUCCCCUCCAUGUUCCUAAAAGUAUAUACUAUACAAGCUAGAAGAUUAUGCACCAUUUCUUAGAAGCAGCAAAGCACUGACCUAAAGAACAUUCUUUCUUCCACUGAUG